UACGUAGGUCCCAAGCGUUAUCCGGAUUUAUUGGGUUUAAAGGGUGCGUAGGCGGGUUAUUAAGUCAGUGGUGAAAGCCUUCAGCUCAACUGAAGAAUUGCCAUUGAUACUGAUGAUCUUGAGUACGAUUGAGGUAGGCGGAAUGUGUCAUGUAGCGGUGAAAUGCUUAGAUAUGACACAGAACACCGAUUGCGAAGGCAGCUUACUAAGUCGUAACUGACGCUGAUGCACGAAAGCGUGGGGAGCAAACAGG
rnacentral:rRNA from 1 species